CUCACGACCUGGAUCCCCCAUAGCUGUUCCACUAUGUUGCAUGCGCAUUCGUCGCCCACUACCUAAACUCGAACUGCGUCGACCCGAAAGACUUCGGGUAACCAAGUUUAUUGACGGCAGUCCUCUGGCCUUUAUUGCCAAAUCGUCUGCCCUUUCAUUUCCCCUUACUCCGUUAUGGUCCAGCACCCAAACGUACGGAUUUUCCCAUCCUCAGAGAAGGCGUUAAUCUCCUUCUUACACUGCAAGACUGUUCGUGAACUUACCUUCCUGGUUGUUAAGGUUGUUAAGGAGAAUACGAAGCUGUCAAUUGAUUUUCAAUACCUUGGGACCUUAAAAAAUCAGAAAAGCUUUUUUCAACAUAUUCGCCUCCGCUAUCAGAACGAAUUUUCUUAGCGAUAUUAGCCUUAUUACAGUGAAUUCCGAAUAAUAAUCAAUAAUGGUGUCUACAUACGGUUUUCCUGAUAGUGUCACCGUUUGCAUCCACGAUCCACAGACAUCACUAUAAAUCAAAACCAAAGGCGCCAAUGAUUUAAUUUUCGGCUAAAUUGGAUUUGAACAUGUUUCUAAUAAUUGCCUCAGGAUCACGAUGUCCUAGUUUACGGUGCCAUUGAUGUAUACAAUUUUCGUUGUGUUGCAUUACCAAAUUUACACCCUCAGAUUGACGCAAAAUGUACACAUCACCAUCAAUAUCAGCCAAUCCUGUAUCUUUCAAGCCAAUAUUAAUGCAACAUCUGUUAUUCUUGAAUAGAACAUCGUAUCCAUCUUUAAUAAGGUUUCGCACAAAGACUAUGUUCCCAACCAGAGAAGGAGCAUAAAGCACUUCGUUUGCAUGUAGUACACCCAGAGAAAAGUUGAUACCAUACGGUAUUGAUAGUAAAGUAACACUGUAUGGUACAAAAACAAUACCAGAUGGUAUGGAUGAACCAUAGAAUGAUUGGUACCUCUUGGUAAAAGCCUUAUUACCGAACUGGUAUUGGUUUUAGUACCAAACCGUUAUUUAUUAUUCCACCCCAAACCAUUGAAAAUAAUUUUAAUCUAAUUUUAUUUUGAUUAUUUAUGUUAAUAAUGAUAAUGUAAUGUUAUACCAUGACCUACCUCAGUUCUAUGUAUUCAGCAAUUGAUUCCAUAUCCAUCGAUUCACAGAAGUGGAUUUCAUAUGAAUGCACCAACACAGCAUCGUUUUCCACACAAUGAACUAUCAUGGUUUUUAUGUAGAAUGUCCUUAGAAUUUGUACAACUUCGAUUUCGAUGAACAGGUUUUUACGCACUCAAAUUGUAUUAAAACAUUUUAUUUAUAUCUUUAACAAAUAUUUUAUAAUGGCGACAAUAUUUUAAGUGCAGAGCUCAACAUCACUUCUGGUGCGAUGAGGUUAGCAUGUCCGCCUAUGACGCUGAACGCCCGAGUUCGAAUCCUGGCGAGACCAUCAGGAAAAUUUUUCAGCGGUGGCUUUCCCCUCCUAAAGCUGGCAACAUUUGUGAGGUAAUAUGCCAUGCCAACAUUUAUGAGGUAAUGUGCCGGCAUUCAAACGAUGCAAAAUCCGCAUCGUCUACGCAGUCCGAGUUAAGGGAUUGGGCGACGAAUGCGCAUGCAACAUUGUGGAAAAGCGAAACAGUCGGUAGGACGCCGAAAAUCUUAUGGGGGGAUACAAAUCGUGAGAA